CGUGUCGUAUGUAGAUAUCCGAGCGCAGGGGCUGCUGGGCCGUCGUCUGGUGCUGAAACACGAUAUGGUCUCCCGUGGCGUGGGAGAGAACUGAGGAGUUUCUGCUUGAAAGUGCGUGGAUCCGCUGUGUGGAAGGCCCAAGAAGGGUCGGGGGUGCGUGGCGGAAAGUGAGCGUGUGUGUACAGUGCAGGGCGUCUGAGGUGGUGGUGGGGCGGAAGGCAGGCAACUCAUACUUACCUGGCAGGGGAGAUACCAUGAUCACGAAGGUGGUUUUCCCAGGGCGAGGCUUAUCCAUUGCACUCCGGAUGUGCUGACCCCUGCGAUUUCCCCAAAUGUGGGAAACUCGACUGCAUAAUUUGUGGUAGUGGGGGACUGCGUUCGCGCUUUCCCCUGGCUUAUUUUUAGUGGAAGAGUAGACUCCACGAGUGCGUCUGGCCGCCCGGUCAUGUUGCUGUAAUGUGUUGGGUCCGUUUGUUUUAAGCCUCCUCUAUGUACAGGAUGAGGCCGUGAAGCAUAUAAAAGCGCCUUAAGGGCAUAGGUGGUGGGUAAGUUUGAAUCUCGCUACGACCCGCGAGCUUGCGGCUGGAGAACUGCCAGUCAGUCUCCGAGUUCACCUAGGUUGCGGCACGACUGUGAAGAGUGGUUCAGAAAGAUGUGAGCGGCCCCAAUCGCGCUUGAAAGCCAGCUCGCUCGUUGAACGCUCUUUCGGCCUCUUGAAAAGUUUGUGCGUGUGAGGGAAGGCUUCUUCGUGCGCAAGAUCCCAGCGGAGAAACCCUUACCUGAGCCAAACACACGAAGUCGGCUGAGGUGUCGGGAGGCGCCCCGUGACGAACUGCUCGUCGGCCUGUCUUGUGGGAGUCUGCCACUAGCUAUUUUCCCAGCAGUGUCCUGCUUUCAGAGGCUUCAUUUCUUGCGUGGUCAGCUGCCUUGCUUAUUUAUACGUGGCCUUAGUCGUUGCUGGAGGCCUUCUCCUGUUAAAAGCCGGACCUCUGUUUCAGCCUCGAAUGUGCACCUGACAUGCUUCAGUAGUCUGGCAAACUCGGAAACCUCCUUAACAUCCCUUCUCCUUGAAUGGCAGUAGAAUUCGUACUUUUUUUUUUUUUUUUUCCUCUUUCGGUCAAAAGUAGAUUUCCUUUUCUUUCUAUCUGAAAACAUUGAACUACAAUUUAGAAGAAAACCCCACGCCAGUUGUCGGCAGUUUGCUGGGCUGUUUGCCCACCCCUUUCUCAGGAUGUGUUGUGCUCACUUCUGAUUCACAAAGUCCUGCUGGCCAAUAGAAACCACUGGGCCAAACAGAAAAGGCAGGACCGUGGCGGGAAGGACUGUCCUCCCCCUCGUGGCUGCCUCGGGGACGGCACUCGUAGAUCCGCUCAGCCCCCAAAAGCCUCUGAGAUCGGAGGAGGUGCUGGGAGUGGGGUGAUGCUUAAGGGUAGGUCCAAAGAAAACUAACCAAAAAGCACACAGGAUGCAGAUCGAGGAUGAGAUUUCCUUGCUCACAUAUGAGCUAUCUUCAGCAUUACUGAUUGGGGCAUAGACAUGGAUUACUGUGAUACUGAAUGGUUUGCCUUGGAAACGAACAGAGAUCAUUCUGUCGUUUUUGAGAUUGCAUCCAAGUGCUGCAUUUU